AGGGGACCUGGAAACUCUUACAGCUUCACUACAACAUCCAAAUUGAGCCUAGACUAUGCAUUUGGAAAUUUGGAGAGGCUAGGAUAGAAGUUAAAGCUGAAAAAGGUCUUAGAAAUAACCUGGUCCAAUCUCCCCCUUUUUGGUAGAUAAGGAUACUGAGACCUGGGGAAGGAAAGUGAUAUUUGCACAUGGGAAGCAAGAGCAAAACCAAGAUUUAGACCCAAGUCUUCUGGCUGCAAAUCUAAUGCUCAAGUUCUUUUUGCCAGCCAUAUUCACCAGGACUUCCGGUCAAGAUGGUGGCUUAGAAGCUGCAAAAGUUCAGACCUCAGAAACCCUUCUUUACCAAUCGAAAACUGAGUGCUCCUAG
rnacentral:lncRNA from 1 species